AACGAACGCUGGCGGCGUGCCUAACACAUGCAAGUCGAACGGAUUGAAGGGGCUUGCUCCUUCAGUUAGUGGCGCACGGGUGAGUAACGCGUAGAUAAUCUGCCUGAUGAUCCGGGAUAACAGUUCGAAAGGACUGCUAAUACCGGAUAAGCCCACGUGGUCUUUGGACCGUGCGGGAAAAGGGGGGGACCUUCGGGCCUUCUGUCAUCAGAUGAGUCUGCGUACCAUUAGCUAGUUGGUAGGGUAAAGGCCUACCGAGGCUACGAUGGUUAGCUGGUUUGAGAGAAUGAUCAGCCACACUGGAACUGAGACACGGUCCAGACUCCUACGGGAGGCAGCAGUGGGGAAUUUUGCGCAAUGGGCGAAAGCCUGACGCAGCAACGCCGCGUGAGUGAUGAAGGCUUUCGGGUCGUAAAGCUCUGUCGAGGGGAAAGAAGUGUACGGGGGCUAAUAUCCUCUGUACUUGACGGUACCCCUAAAGGAAGCACCGGCUAACUCCGUGCCAGCAGCCGCGGUAAUACGGGGGGUGCAAGCGUUGUUCGGAAUUAUUGGGCGUAAAGAGCGUGUAGGCGGUUUGCUAAGUCUGAUGUGAAAGCCCUGGGCUCAACCCAGGAAGUGCAUUGGAAACUGGCAGACUUGAAUACGGGAGAGGGCAGUGGAAUUCCUAGUGUAGGAGUGAAAUCCGUAGAUAUUAGGAGGAACACCGGUGGCGAAGGCGGCUGCCUGGACCGAUAUUGACGCUGAGACGCGAAAGCGUGGGUAGCAAACAGGAUUAGAUACCCUGGUAGUCCACGCCGUAAACGAUGAGAACUAGGUGUUGCGGGUAUUGACCCCUGCAGUGCCGCAGCUAACGCAUUAAGUGCCCCGCCUGGGGAGUACGGCCGCAAGGCUAAAACUCAAAGGAAUUGACGGGGGCCCGCACAAGCAGCGGAGCAUGUGGCUUAAUUCGAAGCAACGCGAAGAACCUUACCAGG
rnacentral:rRNA from 1 species